GCGCCCUUAGCUUAAUCGGAUAGAGCGCUGGCCUCCUAAGCCAACGGUUACAGGUUCAAUUCCUGUAGGGCGUG
rnacentral:tRNA from 1 species